GGUCUGAGAGGAUGAUCAGUCACACUGGAACUGAGACACGGUCCAGACUCCUACGGGAGGCAGCAGUGGGGAAUAUUGGACAAUGGGCGAAAGCCUGAUCCAGCCAUGCCGCGUGUGUGAAGAAGGUCUUCGGAUUGUAAAGCACUUUAAGUUGGGAGGAAGGGCAGUAAGUUAAUACCUUGCUGUUUGACGUUACCAACAGAAUAAGCACCGGCUAACUUCGUGCCAGCAGCCGCGGUAAUACGAAGGGUGCAAGCGUUAAUCGGAAUUACUGGGCGUAAAGCGCGCGUAGGUGGUUCAGCAAGUUGGAUGUGAAAUCCCCGGGCUCAACCUGGGAACUGCAUCCAAAACUAC
rnacentral:rRNA from 1 species